rnacentral:lncRNA from 1 species
GUUAGUUCUAGUAGUACCAGUCAGUUCUGGAGUGUUAGCCCUCCUAUCUAGUUAGUUCUAGUAGUACCAGUCAGUUCUGGAGUGUUAGCCCUCCUAUCUAGUUAGUAGUUAGUUCUAGUAGUACCAGUCAGUUCUGGAGUGUUAGCCCUACCAGGAGCCCUCCUAUCAGCCUCGGUUGGCAUUGUGUUGGCAACAAGCCCUAAUUUAGGGAAUUAAAAAGCACUAGACAGGCCCUUUGUGCCACUGCGCGCCCGCUUUAAUCUUCCCAUGCCUCAGCGGGCACCCACAGCACGCGCACACACACACACACACACAAACACACACACACAGCGUCAGAAGUGGGCACGGUGCCCAUAUGACCCUGGGCAAUAUGGAAAUGUCCACCAAAACCACUAACCAAGCGCCCAGGCUGCCUCUGGUAGAGUCAGUACACAGUGGGAACACACUCUAAUACCAUCCCCCCACUGCACUGAAGCACAGAGAUACACACCACACCACACACACAACACGCAGAUGCUUGCACAUGCAAUUAAAUGUAUGCAUAGUUGUAUUCAUAGACAGAGCGAGAGAGACAGACACACACACACACACACAUUAUUUCACUGUCUUUCUCUAUCAAACACACACACACUUGUCAGAAGUUUGUGUUUCUCUUUGAAAUGUGGGUAAGUGUAACUGCAGUGUCGACGACAAGGCCAAUUUCUCAUGAGGUCAUCCAUCACCUCUAAUGAAACUGGCAGAGCCUAACUGUCUCGCUGUGUGUGUGUGUGUGUGUGUGUGUGUGUGUGUGUGUGUGUGUGUGUGUGUGUGUGUGUGUGUGUGUGUGUGUGUGUGUGUGUGUGUGUGUGUGUGUGUGUGUGUGUGUGUGUGUGUGUGUGUGUCUCUCUCUCUCUCCCUGGGCAGAUCCACUGGCGCCUCGCUAACCCAGGGAGGAGAAAUGGACUGAUUUAAUUACAGAUGAAACACACACACACAGGCUGGCUAUCACACAGACAGACAGAUUUCUUUUCACACAGACUCACACUCAAAGAGCACAGAUUUUAAACAAAGUUCAUAAACACACUCCUUUUUUCAAGCCAGUCUUGUUAGCAUGUUAGGAAACUACAAUGGGGAGCUGAGUGGGUGCUGCCUGGUGUGAUGUUGACGUGUUAAAGCUAAGCUACAAAGCCAAAUAUAACUUAAAGAGGCAAACAGCAGUUGCUACAUCUAUUUCUGGACUUAAUUAUACGUACCGAUAGAUUUUUGAAGAAUACAACGUAUAAAUGCGCUUCAUGAGCUUAGUUCAACUGUCGUACCACAUCAGAACCAAAAAUAUAAGCGUGUUUUACUUCAAUGUUUGCAAACAAUGUAAAUUGUAAACAAACACUAUAUAGCCUCAAAACAUGGUUAAAACUAUAAUGUUGAUAUCAUGGAGGGUCAGUCCUUGCAUCCAUAGCUUUAUCUGUUCAUUUGAUAGUGGUUGCAUUUCUCCAGUACCAUCCCUCAGCUUUUUACAGAAUCAGGAGCAUGCUUUGUUAUUGUUUCUACUGCUGAUUGCUGCUUUAAGUAGCUUCAUAACACUACAGCAUGAGAGUUACAGUUGAGGAUAAAUUGAUCAGCAUUUGUUAAAUCUGUAGUUAACAGUCCUCUUUGAUGGUGAUGGAGGUGAAUAUCUCUUUCAUUCUUGUUACGAAACCAAUAACUAGCCUGCUAAUAUUGUUGCACUCACUAAGUCCAGGGGUCUCAGGCCUAGUUAACUGGUCUGUAACCGGAUUGAAGCUUGUGCAUCUAUGUGAGAAAUCAGCGUAUGUUCCUAGGUGUUGAAGGUUCAAUAUGGACAGAGUGUGUCCUGGAUAGUGUGUUUGUCUAUGUCCUAGCACUAACCUUCCCCCCAUAUCAUAACAUUCUAAAGAAGGGCAAACCAGCUGAUGAUUGGCUCUUUCAUUCAGGCCAAUUUUUAUCUAGAAUUUAGAUGUACGGCUGUUGACCAAAACCUUGGCCACUAGGCUAGAAGCGGUACUCCCUUCACUCAUCAAUAUCGACCAGACGGGGCUUGUCAAGGGCAGAUACUCGUACCAUAAUAUAAGGAAACUUCUAAACAUUAUUCAACAUGCAAAUCUAUAUAGCCCAGAGGCCUUAGUGAUCUCACUUGAUGCAGAGAAGGCCUUUAACAGGGUCGAGUGGACCUAUCUGAUUAUGAUACUAGCAGAUAAGUUCAUCAAAUGGAUAGGGGUAUUUGACACCUGUCCUCCUGCUGCUGUUCUCACCAAAGGGAUCAGAUUUCACACUAGGACGUGGAACCAGGUAGGGUUGUCCAAUGACCGCUCUGUUAUUAGCUGUGGCAAUAAGGCUGGCGGAUGCUAUAGGUGGGAUCCGAUUGGGGACCAAAGGCAAUAACAUUUCUCCAUAUGCGGAUGAUGUUUCGCUGUAUUUGGGCUCGUGUAGAAAUUCUAUUCCAAAACUUGUGGACCUUAUUACCUCUUUAGGAGCUUCCUCUAGGUAUAAAGUGAAUUUCUCCAAGUCUGAGGCUAUGGCACGUGGUGACUCCCAGGCUGUUAAUUCAACAAUCUCCCAGCCUUUCCAAUGGCCUCCCUCUGCUUUUACUUACUUGACUAUUAAAAUCUGUCCUGUGCUAAAAGACAUGUAUAGAUUAACCCACUCCUUCUCUCUAUUCAAAAUGAUCUUGAUAGGUGGUGUUGCCUGCCUCUGUCAAGUUUAGGCCGCAUUCACCUUAUCAAAAUGAAUAUUCUCCCUCGCCUGCUAUACCGUUUUCAAAUGGUCCCACUUUUACUUCCCAGAAAAACCUUUACCCAGUUAGACCGUGCUAUAAUAUGUUUCAUCUGGCCAAGGAAAACACCUAGGCUGAGGUAUAGCUAUCUCACUCUACCUACCAGGUUAGCUGGUCUAGCAGUCCCUUCUCAUAAAUGUUAUCAACUGGCAUCUCAACUGAGCUUUAUUGAGAGUAUUGAAAACCCAAGAGCCUCUUGGCUUAAUUGUGAAUCAGCUACUAUUGGGACAAUCCCACUCCGUAAACUUUUAUACAUAUCCCAGACAAAGAUAGGCAAAUAGACUAAAGACAUUUCAUUAUAUGCUGAAGAACAUCUCUCAAUCUGGGGACAGGUCCGGAAGUUAGAAGGGCACAAUGUUUGUUUCUCAUUACUGACCCCUUUGAAUGAAACCUAAUGUGUCUCGUCUUUACAGUAAGUCUCAGGGUGCAGGGGGUUCCCUUAUUCAUUGUUUCUGGGAUCGUUGUUACAUAGAAACAUUGUGUUCGGAGGUUCUAUAGGAGAUAGAUAACGUUUUUGAGCGCUCUCUCCAGCUGGGUACAACGUUUUGUAGACUGGAAACUAGAGAGGAACUGCCUCUUAGAUUUCCUUAGUGCACAUUUUACACAUUUUAUUACAAAAAUGUAUUCUUCUGCUGUGGAUAUCUGAUAAGGCUUCCUCAGCAGCAUUGGAAAAUAAGCCUUAUCAAUUUCUUAAGAUGUGGGACCCCUUCUUGAACCAACACCGUCAAAACAAAGCCCAAGUGUUAAUUUCAGGACUGUCAGGCUUGGCCUGGCGCGAUUCAGCUACUUGAGGACAAAUCUACUUUAUGUAGGCGGUUUGUACUCAUACCUGACCUCUGUGAGGUAGCCUAGCUACCCUCCCUGCUGCUCUAGGCAGGUUCACAGUGUUAGCACACUAACUAGCCCAGCUGCCCUCCCUGCUGCUCUAGGCAGGUUCACAGUGUUAGCACACUAACUAGCCUAGCUGCCCCUCCCUGCUGCUCUAGGCAGGUGCACAGUGUUAGCACACUAACUAGCCUAGCUGCCCCUCCCUGCUUCUCUAAGCAGGUUCACAGUGUUAGCACACUAACUAGCCUAGCUGCCCCCAUAUGCUUCUCUAAGCAGGUUCACAGUGUUAGCACGCCUACUAGCCUAGCUGCCCCUCCCUGCUGCUCUAGGCAGGUUCACAGUGUUAGCACGCCUACUAGCCUAGCUGCCCCUCCCUGCUGCUCUAGGCAGGUUCACAGUGUUAGCACACUAACUAGCCUAGCUGCCCCUCCCUGCUGCUCUAGGCAGGUUCACAGUGUUAGCAUGUCUACUAGCCUAGCUGCCCUCCCUGCUUCUCUAAGCAGGUUCACAGUGUUAGCACACUAACUAGCCUAGCUGCCCCCAUAUGCUUCUCUAAGCAGGUUCACAGUGUUAGCACGCCUACUAGCCUAGCUGCCCCUCCCUGCUGCUCUAGGCAGGUUCACAGUGUUAGCACGCCUACUAGCCUAGCUGCCCCUCCCUGCUGCUCUAGGCAGGUUCAGUGUUAGCACACUAACUAGCCUAGCUGCCCCUCCCUGCUGCUCUAGGCAGGUUCACAGUGUUAGCACGCCUACUAGCCUAGCUGCCCCUCCCUGCUGCUCUAGGCAGGUUCACAGUGUUAGCACACUAACUAGCCUAGCUGCCCCUCCCUGCUGCUCUAGGCAGGUUCACAGUGUUAGCAUGUCUACUAGCCUAGCUGCCCUCCCUGCUUCUCUAAGCAGGUUCACAGUGUUAGCACACUAACUAGCCUAGCUGCCCCCAUAUGCUUCUCUAAGCAGGUUCACAGUGUUAGCACGCCUACUAGCCUAGCUGCCCCUCCCUGCUGCUCUAGGCAGGUUCACAGUGUUAGCACGCCUACUAGCCUAGCUGCCCCUCCCUGCUGCUCUAGGCAGGUUCACAGUGUCCUUUCCUUAAAACAAAGACACACUUUGGCCCAGAAACCGGAUACACUCCCACUUUUCCUCCUUCUCUCUCUGCCUUUCUCCUUCUUUCAAUCUCCACCUCACACUUUCUUUCUCCCCUUCUCCCUCCUCACCCCGUCACUCUUUCCCCAUUUCUUUCUCUGCUUCUCUUUCUCCCUUCUCCUUCUCUGAACCCUCUCUUUCCUUCCCCCCUCUCCUUUUCCUUCUCUUUCUCAUUCUCUCCAUUUUUCUCUCCCCACUGGUUUCACUUAAUAAGCUUCAAAGGGUUUCUGGGCAACUUGGUUUCUUAAAAAAAGUAACCAUGGCAUUUAUUUGGCACACAACAUCUUCCCUCUUUCUGAGGAUAUGGGGGUUGCCAUGACAUCGGUGGGCACCUUAUAAAGCACACCAUUGUUGCUGUUUGUGUGUAUGUGUGUGUGUGUGUGUGUGUGUGUGUGUGUGUGUGUGUGUGUGUGUGUGUGUGUGUGUGUGUCAGGCAUCUUGUGCCAGCUUGGUCUAAACGCUCAGGCUCCUCAUAUGAAACGCAGAACGUUGCCUAUGCCAGGGAGGAGAGAAUACAAUUAUACCGGCCAACUCAUGCUUACCAGACUAGUCACACACAUUCUCUCUCCUUUACUCUCCCUCCCUCUGACACACACAACUGAAAGGUUACACAUACAGCGUUCACACUAAACUACGAUAAUUCUAUAAGAUAAAAUGUUGUGGUUAGGGGCAAUAUGUGUUAACAAGUAGUGUCAAAAAUAGUUCUCUCUCUCUCAGUGCCAACUCCUCCUUCGCUAACAAUGAUCUCCUGUAGCUCCCCCUUCCCCACACUACCCACUCCUUAGGCUCUCUUCAUCUAUGCCCAGAAUGCUUUACUCAGACACCACUGAACACAUGCACACACAAACCUCUGUCAGACACACACACACACACACAAACACACACCUCCAUCAGACACACACACACAAACACACACCUCCAUCAGACACACACACACAAACACACACCUCCAUCAGACACACACACACAAACACACACCUCCAUCAGACACACACAUACAAACACACACCUCCAUCAGACACACACACACACACACACACACACACACACACACACACACACACACACACACACACACACACACACACACACACACCUCCAUCAGACACACACACACACAAACACACACCUCCAUCAGACACACAAACACACACCUCCAUCAGACACACACACACAAACACACACCUCCAUCAGACACACACACACAAACACACACCUCCAUCAGACACACACACACAAACACACACCUCCAUCAGACACACACACACAAACACACACCUCCAUCAGACACACACACACACAAACCUCCAUCAGACACACACACACACAAACACACACCUCCAUCAGACACACACACACGUCUCCAUCAGACACACACACA